UGCAGUUAAUAUCACCAAAGAUAUCGAAAGUCACCUUCUCAAUGCAUAACGCCAAGACCAUAUGUACCGUUUGCUAGUAUUUCUCUCUUAAAUAAAGUUUGGAACUUGGAUGUGCAUCUAUGUACUAUCUCGACCUUUUAAUAAACGCAAAUUCCAGCUGUACUGGAGUUGGUGACUAAUGCCGAGAAGACAAACUAGGUUCCCGAUCCUCAGUUAUUUAUGCAAUAAUAUUAAUUAGUGCAUGCGUGUGAUUAGUUGUAUGGUUCUGGGAGUUGCUUUGUGAUUGUUAAUCGGUGUCUUUUGUAGUGGGAUUAUUACAUGCAUGUAAUGUGAAGAACAUAUGAUCCAUGAGGAAAUAAAUUAAAUGAAAAUUACCCAGGCUCCAUCAUGAGGAGCCUUUGAGCAUGCCCACAAGCCUACGUUCCUGCAUUCAAGUCACAUAUGUGAAAAUUCCACUUUGCACAUAAUCUAAAUAAUUUAUCUAAAAAUCUAAGAAGUAAUCUCUCUCUCCAUCUAUGUCUCUCUCUCCCCAUCUAUAUGUACCUCAAAUGAAGAGGUAAGGUAAUGUAAAAUCCCCACCUCAAAUUUAGGGAUAUUUAUAUAAUUUGAAAAUUUUAAAAAGACCUACAUUAAUUUUGUAAAUAUUUAUGUAAUCAACUUUCUCAGAUUAAUUAAAUAAAAAAUUGACCAAGAUGAUUAAAAAUGCAAAUUUGAUGAGGACAUGAAGUAAAAAGUGGUAGGGUUUAAGGACAAUGGCUUCUACUGAAUUUUGGUGAGGUGGUGAUACAAUGAGGAAAAUAGAUUAAUAAAGUUUAUCCAUGGAAAUAGAAAAUAGAAAACAAAAAAUAUAAAAUAAUAAUAAUAUUCAUGUUAAUCAUUUAAUAAAUAUAAUAAAUGCAAUUAUAUAUGCUAAGUGAAAAUAACAAUAUUAUUAUUAUUAUUAUUAAUGCUUAUGAUAGGUGAGAAUUAAGUCUUUUAGAAAUUUGAGUAAUUUUUUCAAGGUAAAGCUUAUAGUUCAUUAAGUCAUUUUAUAAUUCCUUAUAUAUUUUUUUAUUGAUUUUUAAAGUAUCAAAAUGUGUAAAUUCUUUAAAGUGGAUCAAAUAGUUUUUUUUUUUUUUGAAAUAUUUUGUGAUUUGUUUGGUUGUUAUGAAAGUGAAUUUUAUUACUUAAUUUAUUAUAAUGAUUUUAAAACUCUAGUUAUUAGUGGUUUUAGUCAACAAGGAUAAGUUAUUAACCUUCUUUACCUUUGGUCAGUGAAGGGAUGUAGUAUAACACUAGCCAAUAAAUGUGUCAUUGGUCUUGUAUACUAUUGAUUAGAAAUUGUUAUGUCCACCAAUGAGAGUAUUAAAGUGAGGUGAGCCACCUAAUGUAAGUCCCAAUAUUUGGGCACAACGUUAUUAUUAAUUAAUAAACAAAAAUAAAUAGUUUAUUUAUAAAAAUUUUUUUCUAAAUAUAAAUUGAGUAUGCAAAUUGUAUUUUUUAAUUCUAUCUUUAAAUUUAAAGUGUUUAAUCUUUUGAAGAAAGUGAAUUUAAUUUUUUGAAGAAAGUGAAUUUAAUUUUUGAAUUAAAUAAAUUAACCUGAUAAUUGAUUUUUAUAAAAAUUUGAUAUCUCUUAGAAUUUAAUUCUCUACAAUAUAUACCUGAUUUUUUUCAUUGAACUAUUUUUUCUUAUUGAACCAUUGAAGUCACCCUUCUUUAUUAUUCCCCUUUUCAUAUACAAAUGGUAUAAGUGAGAAGGGAUUACGGGAGGAGAAAUGUUUCUAUUAUAAACAACUUUGGAAUUGAAUUAUGUUGGAUUGUGAAACGUGAAUCGGUUUAAUUUAUUGUAUUUUGCAAGGAAUGCUAGAGGUCGAGUGUCUAAUUGAGCUUGCGGGGAUCAAGAGUCUUGAUCGGUUCGUUGGGACUUGGGAUUGAGUUGUCCAAUCAGCUCAUGGGGUUAAAGGAAUAUCCUUCGAUUUUUUUUAAUACGAUGAAUAACGAGUUUGUCCUAAUUGUAUAUUUAAUCUUAUUAUAAUUUAAAGUUUCUUUUUAGAGAGUGUGUGACUGCAAUCGAAAGGAUAAUGAGUGUUUAGUACUCGUCUUAUUUUUUUCUGAACCAAAUUAAAAAUCUAUUGUUUUUCUUUAUUUUCUAAUCGUGUGUGCAUGAUUUGAUCAACAAAUUAUUUAUAGGAUUGUUUACUUAAAUUUGAUUGUAAUUUAUUUAAGUUUUUAGGAGAAUCAUUAAAUUUAUUAUUACAAUAUUUUAUUAGUUUUGAAUUUGUUAUUUAAAGUGAUUCAUUUACUUGGUUCAAAGGUUUGACAUAUAAAGUCACCGUGGUUCCCUUGGUGUCGCGGGUGAUUUUGUAAGUGCCUUCGGACUACAGAAUAUUAAUUAACCUACCAAUCUUCAAUGUAAUCUAAGAUGCAGAAAGAUCUUGUGGGUUAAGGUCAAGUGGGCGCUUCAAUAUUUAUCAUGUCUUCAAAAAAAACUUCAGGGCCCCAGUCCAGAUUCUCAGAUAUGGAUUCUAACAGUUGCUACCAAUCACGGGGGUGAAAACAAAUCAGUGUCGCAGAAAUCGCUAUCAAUGUGGUACUGGAAAAAAAAGAAGAGAUUCCUCCACUUGUUCUUGAAAUUUAUCUGAACGCAUGCAAUAAAUCAAUGCUCCAUAAUCUCCUGCACAUGCAAAUUAAAAUCAAAAUCAGGCCAUUGGCCUCUCACAUUACCAUUCUUGGCCGUUUUCUGGUGUGCAUAUAAAGAGUAAUAACCACACCAUCCAUCUUUUACUCUGGUUGUCACACUCCCACCACUCUCCCACCACUUCUUCCCUAAUCUCCUAACAUCAAAUACAAAAAUGCCACAUCCUUAUUAUUGAAAAUUAAAUUCCCAUACAUAUAAAUCUUAUGCCAGAUUUUUUGUUGAUUGGAUGAUAUUCGGCCAUAUAAAAUUCAGUAUCAAUCACAAACAUUCGUUAUCCAAUCUUGAUACCGAAGAGGAUAGAGUAUCAAUCCAUCUAUGGGCCCGGUGCACCAGGCCUUCCGCCUAUAAAAGUUUUCUAGGGUGGUGAACUAUAUUCUUCAAACACAGCCUUGGCUAGUUACUAUCUGGUUUCCAAAGAAAGAAGAAAUGGCUCAGAUAGAUAAGAUGGAAACCCAUGUAGAGAAAAAGUCCCCUGCCAAUGAGUUCUACGAGGUCUUCAGCAGCAAAGCUCAUCUCAUUCCCAAGGCCUGCCCUGACAAAAUCAAGAGCAUCGAAGUGGUUGAAGGUGAUUGGAAGAGUGUGGGCUCUGUCAAGCUCUGGACUUACUGUAUCGGUAAGGCAACGCUAACCAUUAUUCCCAUGCCACCCUCAAUCAAACAAAAUAAUACACUCAGCACAUGGACCUUCUUGUUUUUAAUUAUUAUUGCUGUGGAAGAUAAUAAUAACAAAACAAAGGGAAUGACCCCUUCUGAUACGGGUGCCUCCUCAUAUUAGUUUUUUGAAGUUCUCCAUGCAAACUAAAGUAGAAAUCAAUCUUUAGGCACAUCCCUUAUCUGAGCUUCACAUGACCUUAGUUUCAUUUUAAAUUAACCUGCAGGAGGAAAUACUUCGUCUAGCAAGGAGAGGGUGGAAAAGAAAGACGAUAAGAACAAGUCCAUCACUUUCAAGGCUCUGGAUGGAGAGGUCAUGAAGGAUUUCAAGAGCGUCAUCUCCAUCCUUGAAGUGAGUGCAAAGGAUGACGGCAGCCUGGUGAAAUGGACUUUGGAAUAUGAGAAGUCAAAUGAGAAACUCCUACCUCCAGAUGCUUACCUCAGCCUUGUAAUUAGUAUGAGUAAAGAAAUCGACGCUUACCUUCUCAAGGCAUAAGCCGCAUAACAAGCCCUAUAUCCUUGACUUGAUAUGAAAGCAUCCUAGCCUGGGUCCUCCUGGGAAUAACGGAGUUGCUAUGCGUACCUCCAUAUUAUAUUAUCGACACCUACUGGCUACUGCUGUACUCCAUGUAACUUCUUGCUGUACUUAAUUAUAUGAGCUUCCUGAAUUAAUGUUGGAAUGAUAAAUCAAGCUUUAUGGUAGAAUCAAAUGAUUGCUCUAUCAUGGAAUAAAUUUCGCAAUAAAAAUAAAUAUUAGAGGAGAGUUAUGAAACGAAGCUUUUUUUUCUGCAUCAAAUUAACUUUUCAUACACUGUUUUUAAAACAAAUCAACAUACAAUGAUCUUAUGUUGUACCUUUUCCGUUGCAGAUUGCUUUUAAAAAUGUUCUCCCCACAGGCACUUCUAUGGUAUCUUUUCAAAAUUGCUAUUAUAUAUGUUUAAUUAACCAUUCAUUUUGGUCUAAAGCUAGGACGAACUUCUAAGACUGCCACGGAGACUCUGGAAAUCAACAGAUGAAGAAAAAAAUAAAAUAUAUCCAUGACUUCCAAGGUUUUGGAAGCAGAGGUCAUGAAUCAUUUCAAGAAGAUUCAAGUCAUCCAUGCAAGUAACAGCAAAGGAUAAGCGCAGCUAGGUGAAAUGGAGACUGGAUAUUGAGGGUCACUAUCUCAGAUUCUCAAGGCAUAGCAUUAAAAACAUAUCCUUUAAUUGGUAGUAUAAUCUCAAACUUGUAUGUAAAGACCAGACCGUGGAAGUGCAUAUAUGCAUUUUAUUCUUCAAUAAGCGCAGGCUUAGGGGGUAGUUCAAUAACCUCUGGGCUUAGUCAAUCCCGAGAAGAUAUUAAUAAAUUUCCCUGGAUUAUUCCUCUCAUGAAUAUCAGUGCCUGUAAUUUGGUUGUGUGCUAACGGGAGUUGCCUCUUGCGAUCGGUUGGGUUCUUUAAUAAACGCAUUAUUAGGUAUGAAUGAUCAGGAAAUUGAUAAGUAAAAAACAAUUUAAUUAUUUCACUUAAGUCAUAAACCAUUAUGAGGAGCCUUGGAAUAUAUGCAUGAGUCUAGAUUCUCGCAGCCACUAAUCACGUAGUCAAAAUUGGCCAGUCGCAAACAUUCCAAUCAUUCUUUAUGAUAAGAAAGAAGAGUUCACUCUUCUUUUUCUCGAGUUUUUUAUUUGGAGAGAGCAAUUUAUCAGCCUCACAUUUUGAGACCUUUCUUGGCACAUCACUUUCAGAAUCUGAUUUCCUAGCUCCACUAUAGAAGUAAAGCCAGUUGGGUAUCACAUUCUUGUUUUAUGUCUCCUUGAGUGGGUCGGGUGUAUAUAAAAAUUUGCCAGUUGAAGAUUUUCUUUGUUAUGCUAGUCUUUCUUUUUCUAACCUCCUGAUAUCAAAUGGGAAAAUGCCAUAUCGUUACUGGACAAUUGACCCAUAAUGGAGAGACUUUUGUUGGUUGGACUUGGGCUUUUAUAUAACUCAGCAACUAUCAUAAUUAUAGGAGAAAUUUGAAGUAACCAUAUUGAUUUGGGUCUACCAAGAAGCAAGGUGAAUCGUAACAUAUCAUGCAUAUAACUUGAUUCAAUUAUUUUAUAUUCUACUUGUUUCUUAUGUAUUUUUACUUUUAUCAAAUAGUUUAGAUAUCAUUACCAAAUAUUCUCCUGACAUUUUCCUAUUAUUUCUGUAAGAUGCUAUAAUCUACACCCAAAGUAGUGGACCACUUACACUUUAUUAUGUACUAACCACGAUCAUAACUUACAUUCUCCACCUUGGCCUCUCUCUUAUCCCAAAAAGUAAAGACUCAGGGUUCGUAUCCCUUCCCUUCUGUCUAUAUAGGUCUAAGAGUAGUCAAGUGUUUCCUUCAAUAGCCUUCAUAUUCUUGGCAGUAACUAGGUACUUGGUUUUCAAACACAACAAAAAUAAUGGCUCAAAUUGCCAAGAUGGAGGUCCAAGCAGAGAUCAAGUCCCCUGCCAGUAAGUUCCACGAGGUCUGUAGCCGUAAAGUUUAUCUCGUACCCAAGGCUUGCCCUGAAAAAAUUAAGAGCAUUGAAGUAGUUGAAGGUGACUGGAAGACUGUGGGCUCUGUCCAGCUUUGGACUUAUUUCAUCGGUAAGGCAAAAUCCAUCAUUCCACGCCUCCCCCAACAAACACAAGGACACAGAGCUCAAUUGUACUUCUAUUAUUAUUACUAUUAUUAGGAAAUAAUGAUAAUCUAAUGGUAAUGUGACUCUACUCAUGCCGAUAUAAACCCCGUAAUCUUGAUCUCAAAUUGCUAUCAAACAAAAGAAUAUCAAAUAAAGGUAAAGUGUGUCCCCUAUAUUUAUACGUAGAUAGAUGAGUUCUAAGCUUAGCACCAUGUUUUCCAUUUGAAAAACAGGAGGAAAUACCGAAGAGGCUAAGUUGGUGGUUGAAAGGGUAGACGAGGAAAACAAAACGGUCACUAUGAACGUUGUGGAAGGAGAUAUCGUGAAGUAUUUCAAGAUCUUCAAGUGCACUAUUCAAGUAACCGUAAAGGAUAAGGGCAGCUUGGUGACAUGGAGUGUGGAAUAUGAGAAGCUAAAUGAGAGUGGCCCCGCUCCAGAUGCUUACCUCAACUUUGCAAUGGGUAUCGUUGAGAACGUGGAUGCUUACCUUCUCAAGGCAUGACAACAAAGGCGUAUUCAUGAGUCAUGACAUGGUAUGAAGCACUGGUACAACAAAAACUUGGGAAUAAUGUACCACACGCCAUGUCCUCAACUUCUACUGGUCAUCGCUAUAAUAUUAAAAGUAACUUCUUAUUCUACUUAUAUACCUUCCAAGUACUUUGUGUCUUGAAUGUUAUUAUCUAAAAAUAAAAAUAGAAAAUCUCGAAGAAGAGCAUUGUCCUUCGACACUUUUCUUUCUUUCUUUCUUUCUUCACUGCUGAGAAUCUCAACGUACGACUACCAUUUGCAUUAUGGACCCAUGACUGCCAUCCUUUGACCACAUUUGUUGCCCUCCCACCAAACUCCUACGCGUCAAAAUUUCUAUUGUUGCUUGAACAAUAUUUUCAUUUGAAAAACAAGGAAACGAUUUAAAAAUUCUUAUCUCAUGUCUAGUUACCCCGGUCGACCAUAUAAAGUACCACUUGAUCACUCUAGUCUCCUUUGCUAGCCCAUGGGCAAUGCAAUACCCAGCAGGUCCCAGUAACCAACUCUAUGUUCCUCCGAAAAUGAAACAAAUCAGGUCGUUUCAGGGAUGCAUUUGAUCUCACCCUUUUGUUUUGUGUCCGUUAUUUUUUAUUUUAAUAUCACAUGUUUAUAUUUUAAUCUCAUUCUUUACACCUGGAUUUGCUGAUAAAGGCAACUUUCUUUUUGAGCUUUGAUCGAGAUUUUUAUGAAAUUCCUGUGAUAUUACCGUCCUGCUCCUGCUUAAGAAUGUAACUUUGAUUUUGCUUUUAGUGAAGUCUUUAGGUGUUGUUUAUUCCCCAAAAUCUUUUGAUGUUUCUGAAAUUGCUUCAGUGGACUUUGAGAGGUUGCAGGUACCUCUUUUCUCCUGAAAUAGAAUUUGUUUCAGUGGAGCAAGACAACAGGAUGAGCAAAAAAUAGAACCAAUUUUAUUGAUAUAUAUCAGGUUUUUGAGACGUUGAAGAACAUUUCUAACAACUUUUUUUGAUGGGUGACCAAGCCUAUUAUGCCACAAUGCAUAUACAGAACAAGAAGAAAAAGAAGCAGGUGUUGGAACUACAGAAGAAUUGUAUACUAAGGGUUGUGUUGACAUACUGACAUAUGACUUAUGAGGAGUUGAGGGAGAGAAGCUGCCACUGAUUAUUAAUGAGAUCAAUUUGAGACUGAUAAAAAACAUAAAGACCAUCUUUAGGCCUACCCCUCCAGUAGCACUGUUUUGAAGUGAAAUUCAAAGAAGACAUUCUUUUGGGCAAAUUUUGACACACUGAGAAGGUUCUAAUUAGCAAUUUCAGGGACAUGAAGUGUUUUAAAGAGUAAUUUCAGCAAACAUAACUUCAACUUUACAUCCACCUGACCUCAUUAUUUCAGUUUGACAAGAGGGCUUAAUUAUAUCAGUAUGACUGCUAAGAAGACUUUGGAAUAUUAUAAAACGAGUCCAUCAAGUUCAAGGUUUGGAAUGGAAAGAUCAUGAGUAAUUUCACUACUUUUAAGCUGAAUAUGAGAAGGUAAAUGAGGAUGUCCCAGACCCAAUGCUUACUAAAUCAUUGAAGGUCACCUUCUUGAGGCAUAAUUCCAAUUCUUUUCAUCGAUGCUUCUUAGAUGUUAUAAAACAAUACUAUGAAAAUGAAAACGUAAUGUAAUUUUGUCAAAGCCUUUUCCUUAUUGAAGACUCUGGACUGAUUGCGUGGGUGCGCAACACCCACCAUAAUUCCCACACCAACGCCCAACUAACCAAAUCACGUAAGGCCUCACAUGGCCUCAUUAUUAUUUCUGUUGAAAGAUAAUACUAUAUUACAUACGAGAUGGCCAUUCUACCAGCCACCUGUAAAGUUGGUGAUAAAUUGAUACUAAAAAUAGAAGGAAAAUUAAGUUGAAAUUAAGGGUGUCUAUUUAAAUUUAAUUAUUCCCUAGAUAUGAUCUUUUGAUAUGAUUUGAACCCGUUAAUCAUUUAUUUUUAUAUAAAGAGACAAAAAUUCAAUUGUAUAAUCCAGGAUGAGUCACUUGGCCGGGUUUUCGACGACAGCUAAAUCAACCUUCAUUUAGUAAUGAUUGCCCAUGAAAUAAAUUAUCAUGUCUCCUCACAAUAUAAUAAACUAAUAAAAAAUAAAAGAAGAUCACAAAGAAAAGCAUCUUAGUGGAAGUUUUUUUUUUUUUUUUUUUCUUUCAUUUGUUGGUGGUGACACUCCGUGAAAUGUGAUCAACUAGCAUUUGAAUUACACAACCUAAUGCAAAUGAUAAAAAGCAUAAAUUACUUUAGAGUGUUUAGAAUUUGGAAGACUCUAGCUAGGAUGAUAUGGCAUGGGUCUGUGGCCGACAACCACCAAACCCAACGCUAAAUAAUUAUUAUUGAACCAUCAUCAUCAGUAUAAGCAACAUCAAACCUCUCCAUGUUAAACUGUACAUUUUAUUUCAUCCGGAUCUAAUAUCUAAUUAUAAAUGAUUAUGUAUGAGAUUGCAAUCCUUUGCUUAACUCUUUGAAAAUCUAAUUAUAAAUAUUUGGAAUAUCGAUUUCAUCUCUACCAUUAAAAGCAUAUGAAAAAAAUAUCUUGGUCUUUGAAUAAAAGUAAGUAUAAAUAAUUAGACUAGGGUACCAAAUGAUGAAAUCAAAUAUAAAUGAAUUAUAACCAUCAAAUUUCUAUUUUUCAUUAUUAAAUCAUUGGGCGCUCCAAUUUUUACAUGAUGUAUAACUAUUGACGGAAAUGUUAAUUAGGGAUGGCAACGGGGCUGGUUUUUUCGGGUACCCGCCCCCCCCUCCCCCCCCCCCGCCCCUAAUGGGACGGGGUUGAAAUUUAAUAAACGGGUUUUUAACGGGUAUGAGAUUUUUUUUUAAAACCAGGGGCGGGUUCGGGACGGGUUCGGGACGAGUUCGGGUAUUGCCCCAUUCCGCCCCGCCCCGCCCUGUUUACAUAUAAAAUCAAUUUUAAAAUUAAUUUUAUUUUACUAUUUUUAAUAUAUAGAUAAUAAUAAAAAAAUUAAUAAAAUAAGUUAUAAAAAAUAUAAUAAUUUUAUUAUUUAUAAAUAUAUUUAUUUUAAUGUAAUUAAAAAUUUUAAAAGUAAAUUUUUUUUUUUAUAAAAAAAAGGAGGCUAAACGGGGCGGGACGGGGAUGAGAAUUAUUUUUAAUAAACGGGGCGGGGUUGGGAUGGGGGCAACCCGUCCCGAACCCGCCCUGUUGUCAUUCCUAAUGUUAAUAUAAGGAUAUAAUAAUGGGUAAAAUUAGUUGAAAGUGUUUUUUUUAUGACAUAAAAUAAUUUUUCAAAUUUUAAUUUCUAUUUACUUUGUCUUCCCUUGUCAUGUAUCUUUGUAAUUUUCCGAUUUGUUUAUCAAAACAAUAAAUGAUGUCAUGUUAUGAUUUCUCUUUUUGUCUUCCUUUUUAAUUGACGUGUUUAUUGGAAUAAUAUAUUAUGUUAGACAAAAUAACACAUACCUCCACUGCCCAAAUCCCCUCCGUGACAAUGAACCCCAUCUUUAAGCAUUAUUAUAAAAUUAAGCAUAAAGUUAUUACAAGUUUCUUCCAUUUCACAUGCCUUUCCCAUAGAUUGAGUGGUGGAGAUGAUCAUUCUUGAACGAUUUAUAAUUUUAAUGAAUUCUGUCUAUUCUCAUAUCUUUUAAGAGGGAAUUCAAAUCAACUUAUCUUAUUUUCUCAACGCUACUUAACUUCCACGGCUUCAAAUUUACAUGAUCAUAUCAUUAUCAAUAACUUCGGCAUAACUAUUCAAAUUUUAAUAAGAACUUCAAAUCAUUGUUACCUUUAUUGCCUUAAAAAUCUUUUUCUUUGUCAAUGAUCCCUGCACGAUUAUUAAAUAAUAGGAUUGUUAUUGUCAUAUUAACUAAUUUUGAUAAUAUAGUCAUCGUCACGGCUGAGUGCCGUUUUCUUGGGAGAUUUUUCAUAAAUUUAAAUCAAUACCAGUUAUAGGAAAUGCGUCACAAAUUAGGAAGAUAUCGAGCUGGAAGCAGAUGAUAUAUAAUUCAUUAUUUUCUUCCUUAUUGAAGCUUGACAAACCAAUCCAAAUGCAUUAACGUGAGAAGCAAGGUUUUAUGCUCAUUUUCAAUGAACCUUGUCAACAUGCACGUCAAAAACAAUGAUUUAUUAACUACGUACAUGUAGAACUGCAUGGGAAAAAAAAAAUACAAUUAAGGCAUUGGGAUAUGAAUAAAACGCUUAACUUAAAAUUCAAAAUUCUCAAAACUACGUUUUUCACACCAAAAUGUUUCAUCCAGCCAACCUAAGACCGAGUGAAUCCUCCCUCUAAAGCACAUUGCCCAAGACUACAGGCAACGUAGUAAUUACCUAAGCAAAUACGUCAGAAUCAUACCAAUUUUUACCAAAGUGGGUAUCGGGAAGGAGCUUUGCCUAAUUCAUCCUUCUAUAUAUAAGGACAAGGUUAUCUACUUCUUCUCAUCACUGCCUUCUGUUUGAAUAUUUUGUAGUUAGUUUUAUCAAUCCAGCUAGUGUUAUUAUCAGAAAAACAUGGCUCUAACUGGUAAGUUGGAGACUGAAACAGAGAUCAAAGCACCUGCUGAUAAGUUCUUUAAAAUCUUCAGGAGCCAAGCACACCACCUUCCUAAUAUCUGCUCCGAUAAAAUACACAAAAUCGAGGUACAUGAAGGUGACUGGGAGACUCAGGGCUCCGUCAAGCAUUGGAGUUUGACCGUUGGUAAGGCAUCUCAAACUAAGAACCACAAAACACUAGCGUUAUAUUCUGUUAAUUAAAAUAAGUUAUUAUGUUUUUGUUUCAUUUCAUUGUUGUUUUCUUCACCUUUCAAUUAUUCUAUUAGAAUAAAAGCAUGCCUCUUUGUACAAUUUUUUUCUUGCAAAGAAGUGAUCGAGUCUGGGCCGCUAGUGACUAUGAUGGUUCUUAGGAAUGUACAUGACAUCUAAUAAUAGCUUCAACAUAUUCCAAUUAUGUUUAACCUCACAUUUUGGUUUCAACUAGGAGAGAAUUCUGAGAGUAUUAAAGAGACUGUGGAUCAAAUAGAUGAAGAAAACAGGUCCAUCACAUUCAAGGUUUUGGAUGGGGAGGUGCUGAAAGACUACAAGAGCUACAAGUUCACCACACAAGCGAUACCAAAGGGGGAGGGCUGCUUGGUGAUAUGGACCAUCGAAUAUGAGAAGGCAAGUGAGGGUGGCCCAGAUCCCCAUAACUGCCUAGAGUUUUCAGUUAAUAUCACCAAAGAUAUCGAAAGUCACCUUCUCAAUGCGUAACACCAAGGCCAUAUCCACCCUUUGCUAGUAUCUUGCUCGUAAAUAAAGUUUGGAACUUGGAAGUCCAUCUAUCUCUAUCUUUCAAUAAACGCAAAUUCCAGGUGUGGACUUGGUGAUUAGUGCCGAGAAGAUAAACUAGGUUUGCCUUGGUUAUUUGUGCAAUAAUAUUAGUGCAUGAGUGGGAUUGAUUGUAUGCUAUCUUGUCCGGGAGUUGCUUUGUGUCUUUUGUAAUGGGAUUACUACAUGUAAUGUGAAGACUAUAUGAUGCAUGGGGAAAUAAAUUAAGCGAAAACUUCCAUGGGCUCCAUCAUGAGGAGCCUUUGAGUAAGUCCACAAGCCUACAUUCUUGCAUUCUAGUCACAUGUGUCAAAAUAAGUCUCUACAAAUUAAAGUCUUAUUGUCAAAAUCCCACUUUACACAUAAUCUAAAUAAUUUAGCUAAAAUCUAAUAAGUAUGUCUCUCUUUAUAUGUACUUACCAUCCCAACUUUUAAAUUUAGGGAUAUCUAUGUAAUUUAGAUUUUAAAAAGAAAAUUUUAGGGAUAUUUACAAAGAUAAAUGAAAUAUUUUUGGUUCCGAUAACCAUUAUUUUUAUCUCAUUUUGGUUUCUUUGCGUUAUAAAAAAAAUGGUUUGUAGAGAUAAACUAGAGAAAAAAAAAAAUUAUACAAUGGUUUGUAGAGAAAUUUGAUUCGAAAAGUUAGAAAAGAUGAUUUGUUUUUUGCAUUUGCUUCAUUCUAAAAUUCAAUCACUAUCUUUUAUCUCAUUUUGGUUUCCCCACAUUAUCAAAAAAUGAAGGAUAAAAAUAAACUGGGGAAAAAAUUAUACAAAGGUCUCCGAGAACUUUGAUUUGAAGAGUUAGAAAAGAAGAAUUUUUUUGCAUUUGUUUCAUUUUAAAAUUCAAGGUUUUUGGAUUUCUAUUAUAUAUUAAUUAUGAGGAUAGUAGAAUAAUAAUAAUAAUAAACAAAAACUAGUUAUUAGUGACCUUGAUCAAUAGAGUAUAAGUUGUUGACCUUUAUUAUCUUUGUUAGAAGUAGUUAACGAUGCAAUGUAACCUUAGCCAAUAAAGAUGUUUUGAUAUACAUUGAUUGAAAAAUGUCCUUUUAAAACUAGUUAUUAUUGACCUUGGUCAACACAGAGGAUAAGUUGUUGACCUUUAUUACCCUUGUUAGGAGUAGUGAACGGUGUAGUAUAACCUUAGUCAUUAAGGAUGUUAUUAGCCUUUUGCUAUAUCAUUGAUUGAAAGUUGUCCUAUCCACCAAUAAGGAGAAUGAAGGCUAGCCACCAAGUACUAGUUUUAGUAUUUUGGCACAAUAUUAUUACUAGUGAGUCAAAGUGAAAUAUUUGUUGAUAAAACUUUUUUAAUAUGAAUUGAGUAAGCAAAAUAUAUUAUUUAAUUCUAUCAUUAAAUUGGAAGUGUUUAAAUUUUCAAAAACAAUUAUUUUAAUUAUUGAAUCAAAUGAGCUUACAUGUUAAUAGACUUUUAUAAAGAUGUGGUAUCUUCCGAAAUUUUAUUAUAUAUAAUAAUUGAUCUUCCUUAUACUAACUUUUAUCAUUGAGCCAUCGAGUUCACUUUUCUCUGUUAUUCUCCAUUUCAAUUAUAAAUGAUAUAAAGAGGGAUGAGGUAAGAAAAAUAUUUCUAUUAGAGACAGCUUUGGAAUUGAUUUAUUUUAGGAUUAUUUACUAGACUGAAUUCAUUUAUAAUUUCUAAAUUUCUUUUUGAAGAAUUUGAGAAAAUUAAAUUAAUUAUUGAGAGAUUUUAAUUAGUUUUAAAUUUGUUACUUAAAGUCGUUCACAUGUUGGAUUCUAAUAUUUGAUACGUGAAACUAGCAUGAAGGGCUUGACCUCCGGGUUUGGGGCGUCGCAGCUGACUUUAGAUUACAGAAUUAUUAAUCAACCUACCAAUCUUCAAAGCAAUCUAGGAUGCAAUAUGGUUUUGUGAUUUAAGAUCAAGUGGACGCUUCAUUUAUUAUGUCUUCAAAAAAACAUUUUGGGCCUCAAUUCGAGAUUAUCAGAUAUGGAUUCUAACAGUUGCUUCCAAUCAAAUCAGUGUCACAGAAAUCGCUACCAUUGUGGUACCUGAAAAAAAAAAAAAGAGACUCCUUCCCUUAAUAUUGAAAUUUAUCUGAAGCUAUGCAGUAAAUAAAUGCCCCAUUUUGUGCGUCAUAAUGGGGGAUCACAUUCAGAAUCUUCUGCACAUGCAAAUUAAAAUCAAAAUCAAGCCAUUGGCCUAUCACAUUACCAUUUUUGGCCCUUUUGUUUUGUUGUUUUUUUCUUUUUUUGGCGUGUAUAUAAAAAGCAACCACAUUAUCCAACUUUUAUUGAAAACACCAUAUUAUCAGAUACAAAAACGCCACAUCAUUAUUAUUGAAAAUUAAAUUCCCAUAUAUAGAAAGCCACAUAAAAUUCAGUGCCAAUCACAAACAUUCGUUGAUAUUCACUAGGAUAGAGAUAGAGUGCCCAUAUAUGGACAGUGCACCAUACCCGCCGUGAAGUGAUUGGAAGAGUGUGGACUAUGUCAAGCUCCGGACUUAUUUGUAUAGGUAAGGCAACGCUAACCAUUAUUAUUCCCAUGCCACCCUCAAUCAAGCACAGUCAUACACUCGGCACAUGGCACUUCUUGUUUUUAAUUAUUAUCAUAGUGAACAAUGUUUUCAUAAUCGGAUCGAUCAUCGAACCGAAAAAGUUAUCGAUUUACAGUCCAUUAGUCGAACCGACGGUCGAACCAAUAACAUCAUAAAUAUGUAAUUUAUAUAUUAUUAAAAUUAAAAAUAAUUAUACAAAUUUUAAAAUAUAUAUGAAUAAAUUAAAAAUCAAUAAUAUUAUUUUGUAUCUUUAAUAUUAUCAAAUUAAAUCAUAUUAAUAUUUUAAAUUUUAUUGAAUGAAAUAUAUAUAAUAUUUAAAUAUGAAUAUAUUAAAAAUGAAAAUUUAAUUAAACUAAUUUUAUAAUUUUUAAAAAUAUUAUAUUAUUUUUAUUUAAUAUUAUAAAAAAAUUUAAAAUCCAAUAUAUAUUAUUUUGUUUGGCAUAUUAAAUAAUAAAAGAUGUAUAGCCGAGUGGUCCUAGGUUGGUUAUAGACCUUGAGGUCCAAGUUCAAAUCCUUUGGUGGAUUUGUUAAUUUUUUUUUUCAUUGAUUAGGUUAGUUAGCAAUCCCACACUAAGAGGAAUAAGGAUGCUUAUAAAAGCUAGCCUCAUUAUGGGCAAAGGCAUCACCUCAUCUGGUGGGCUUAAGACUCAGCCCAUAAAAUGGUUGGGUGCGGUGUGGGCUUUGUCACAUUAAGACAGGGCCCAUCAUGGGCUUUUGCUAAAUUUUUUUAUACAAGGGAGCCUUCCAUGCUUGCAAAAUGGUGGGAUAACUUGAACCGAUCGAUUCGCUCAAAACCGUCUGAUUUCGUUGGGUUAUCGAUUCAAUCAUCGAUUUAGGUGAUUUGUGACCGGUCCAAUGCUUAGACGGUUUAAUAAAGUAAAUCUAAUAAAAAAUGUGAUGGAUCGACGAUUGAACCAGUUGGAUCAGUCGGUCCCACCCGAUUUUUAAAACAUUAGAUAAUAACAAAUUAAAAGAAGGGUGUCUCCUCAUAUGAGUUUUUUUGAAGUUCUCUACUCUUGGAGUGACUGAAAGGAUAACUGCAGCCUGGUGAGAUGGACUUUGGAAUAUGAGAAGUCAAAUCAGAGGCUCCUUCCUCCAGAUGCUUACCUCAGCCUUGUAAGCAUGAGUAAAGAUAUGGAUGGUUUACCUUCUCAAGGCAUAAACCGCAUAACAGCAAGGCCUAUAUCCUUGACUUGGUCUGAAAGCAUCCUAGCUUGGGUCCUUCUGGGAAUGGGAUUGCCACACGUAUGACCUCUGUAUCAUCAGUUUUGGGGCAAAAUAGCCAUUUUAUGUAUAAAAAAAAAUAAGCUUUAGCCCUUUACAAAACUUAUGUUUAAACUAGCUCACAUAGAGUCAUGUCAUCAUUUUUCUUUUAAACUCAAUUAGACUUUAUUUUUUAACUGAAACUUCAAUUACCAAUUGAGAAUUCAUUUUUUAACUAAAACUUCAAUUUACAAUUGAGGUUUUAGUUAACUUUGUUUUAAAUUUAAAUAAAAAAUUAAAUUAUAAAUUAUUAUUGAAAUUUAAAAAAUAUAUUUUAAUAAUAAUAAUUUAUAUAUUUAAACUUAAAUAUCUAAUAUUACUUCAAUAAAGAUAAAUUGACAAAUAUAAUAAUAAAUAAAUAUUUUAUUUAUCAAUAAAUUAAUAAUUUUAAAAUAAUAAAGUUAUAUGAAAUCUAAAUAAGAUAUAAAAUUAUAUAAUUUGUUAAUUUAAGAUAUUUAAUUUUUUGUAUUUUUAAGAUAUUAAUUUAUUUGUAUUUUGACAAAUUUAUCUUUAUUAAAAUAAUAAUAUAUUCUUAAGUUUCAUAUAUAGAUUUUUUUAUUAUUUUAAAGCAUAUAUUUAUAGUUUACGUAAAAAAAUACUAUUAUUUGUACAUACAAUAUAUAUGCCUUGAAGAUACAUUUUGAAAUUAGUUAAUAAAAUUAAUUAGAAAAAAGUCUACUAUAAAAUUUAAUUUUUAAUAGUUUCAUCAAAGUCACAAAAAAUACUCAUUAAAUAUUUAUAUUAUGGAAAAAAAAUGCCCCUCCCUAAUAUUACAUGUGAUAUAACUUAAAUUAAUAAAUUGUAUAAUUUUAUAUUUUAUUUAUAUGUCAUAUAAUUUUAUUAUUUUAAGAUUAUUAAUUAAUUGAUAAAUAAAAUAUUUAUUUAUUAUAUUUAUCAAAUUAUCUUUAUUGAAGCAAUAUUAGAUCUUUAAGUUUAAAUAUAAAAUUUUUUAUUAUUAAAGUAUAAUUUUUUAAUUUCAAUAAUAAUUUAAAAUUUAAUAUUUUUAAUUAAAUUUUAAAGUAAAAAAAUAAAAUAACUGAAGUUUCAAUUGACAUAUCUUAUUUAGAUUUCAUAUAAUAUUAUUAUUUUAAGAUUAUUAAUUUAUUUAUAAAUAAAAUAUUUGUUUGUUAUUAUAUUUAUUAAUUUAUUUUUAUUGAAGUAAUAUUAGAUCUUUAAGUUUAAAUAUAUAAAUUAUUAUUAUUAAAAUAUAUAUUUUUUAUUUCAAUAAUAAUUUAUAAUUUAUUUUUUAAUUAAAUUUUAAAAUAAAAUAAAAAUUUUAACUAAAACCUCAAUUGUCAAUUGAGGCUUUAGUUAAAAAAUAAGUUUCGAUUGACAAAUGAUACUUCAAUUAAAAAAUGAAGUCUUAGUUGGUAAUUGAGACUUCAACUUAAAUUUUAAAAAAAAAAAAUUAUGACAUAACUCCUAUAUGUGAUAAUAAAGGAACUAGUUUAAACAUAAGUUUUAUAAAAGGGUUAAAACUUAUAUUUUUUUCUACAUAAAAAACUAUUUUGCCCUAAAACUCCCGUAUCGUCGACUAGCUACUGCUUUACUCCAUGUAACAUCUUGUCUACUUAAUUAUAUGAACUUCCUGAAUUAAUGCUGGAAUGACAAACCAAGUUUUAUUGAAAAUGGAAACCUUCUUAGAAUCAAACAUUUGCUCGAACAAAUUUCGCAAUAAAAAGAGGAGAGUUGUGAAAAGAAGCAUUUUUCCUGCAGCCAAUUACCUUUUCAUACAUUACUUUAAAACAAAUUAACAAAUAGUGAUCUCAUAUUUUACCUUUUCUGUUGCAGAUUACUUUUAAAAAUAUUCUCUCCACAGGCACUCCUACGGAAUCUUUCUCCAAAUCAAACUGUACAUUUUACUCAAAUUUUAAUAUCUAAUUAUAAAUAAUUAUGGGUGAGAUUGCAAUCCUUUGCUUAGCUCUUUGAAAAUCUAUGAUGAUACUCGGUAUUAAUAUUUUAUUUUAUUAAAGAUAAAAAUAUCAAAAUAAUUUUAGAACUUUUUAGUGGGGAUAAUACUUCCCCAUUAGGCUGCUUACAAGGCAUAAAUUAAUAUUUUUUUAAUUUUAAUAAAAGCAAUUUGGUACAGUUGACUUGAUUGAUAACUAUUUAAGAUAGGAUUUAGACUAAUUUAGAUUAAUUAGAUUGCAUUUACAGUUCCGUUACCUCGAAACAAAGUUGGUGCAACAUUAACCAUGAUUAUGGUGAUAUAUUUUAGUUUUAUAUUUUUUAAGGGGAUAAUUUUUUUUUUUAAUGGUUUGAUGUUAGCUUAUAAGAAAAACCUAAACCAUAAAAGCCGAAUCUUUCCAAUAUUGAUCCAAUUUCUAUCAUUAAAAAUAUAUGAAUAAAACUUUUGAUCCUUAAAUAAAAGUAUACAAACUAUCGUACAAAAUAAUGGAAUCAAAUAUACAAAAUAAGAUUAAGGAAAUGUUUGAUAAAACUUAAUAUUUAUUAUUUAAUAAUUUAAAUUAACUCUAAGUUAAAUUAUAUUUAAGUUGUUGACUUAAAACUUAUUAUUUAAUUUUUAUUUUAAGUAUUAAGGUUAUUUAAAAAAAUUAACUUACAAUUUAUAUUAAAUCAUCAAAUUAAAAUAUUUAUCUUAAUAAAUUAUAACUAAGACAAAUAAGGUUAAAUAACAAUGGAGGUUGUGAAGUCAUAAAAGAGAUCAUAAAUGUAAUUGAGAGAAAAAAAGACAAAAAUAUAAAAUGAAGAUACUGACUUAAAAAUAAAUAAAUUUUUUUAUUUAUUAAGUCUUUUAUUUUAAGUCAUACAAUAAAAUUAUUUUAUCAAACAUAUUUAAUUUAUUUAAUAAUAUAAUUAAAAUAUUAAGUCACUUAAAGUUAUUAAAUUGGUUUACCAAACACGUACUAACGUACAAAUAAAUAAGACUAAAAUAGAAAACAAUGAAACUUAAACACAUAUAUGACAUGGUCUAUUUAAUUGUAUUUUUUUAUAAAUGCCUCUUUAAUACUUCCCAAAUCAUAACAUUAAAUUUCUUAAAUUGAUAUAAAACAUUUUUUUUUUUCUANNNNNNNNNNNNNNNNNNNNNNNNNNNNNNNNNNNNNNNNNNNNNNNNNNNNNNNNNNNNNNNNNNNNNNNNNNNNNNNNNNNNNNNNNNNNNNNNNNNNACAUAUAUGACAUGGUCUAUUUAAUUGUAUUUUUUAUAAAUGCUCUUUAAUACUUCCAAAUCAUAACAUUAAAUUUCUUAAAAUUGAAUUAUAAACAUUUUUUUUUUCUAUGAUUGAAUCAUUUAGCACUCCAAGUUUUACUAUUGGACGAAAUGUUAAGGAUCUAAUAAAUGGGUAACAUUAAUUUGCUGAAAUAGUUUUUCUUAUUACUUAUAAUGGUUUUAAGAAUGUUGAAAAAAAAAUUCAUGGGAAAACAUUUAUCAAACUCAAAUUUUGAUUCCUAUUUACUUUAUCUUUCCUUGUCAUGUCUCUUUCUAAUUUUCCUUUUUUAGCGGUUUGUUUAUUAGAACAGUAUAUCAUGCCUGUGAUUCUCUUUCUAUCACUUCUUUUCAAUUGAUUUGUUUAAUGCAAUAAUAUUUGUUUAAUGCAAUAAUAUAUCAUGUUAGACAAAAUAACACCUACCUACUACCCAAAUCCCCAAUGUGACAAUGAACUCUAUCUUUAAGCAUUAUUAUAAAAUUAAACGUAAAGGAUAUUAUAAGUUUCUUCCAUUCCACGUGCCUUUCCCAUAUAUUGAAAGGUGGAGGUUAUCAUUUUUAAAAGAUCAAUAAUUGUAAUGAAUUUUCCAUUCCACGUGCCUUUCCCAUAGAUUGAAAGGUGGAGGUGAUCAUUUUUAAAAGAUCAAUAAUUUUAAUGAAUUUCAUAUAUUUGCAUAUUUUUUAAGAGGGAAUUCAAAUUAACUCAUCUUAUUUCUCAAUGUUACGUAACUCCUGCCUCAAAUUAAAAUCAUCAUAUCAUUAUGAACAACUUUGAUACAACUAUUCAAUUUUUAAUAUGAAUUCUUUCAUUCUCAAAUCAUUGUUCAAGUUAGCUUUAUUAACUUAAAAAAACUCAUUCUUUGUCACUACUCCCUCUAUGAUUAUUAAAUGAUAAAAUUGUCAUUGUCUUAAAAACUAAUUUUGAUAAUAUAUUCAUCAACAUAUUUACAAAUUUAAAUUAAUACAAGUUGUAAGAAAUGUAUCAUAAAGAAGAUACAAAACUAGAAGUAGAUGAUAAUUAAUUAUUUUUUUUCUUUAUUGAACUUUGACACCCCAUCCAAAUGCAUUAACGAGAAAAAUAGUGUUUUAUGCUUGUUUUCAAUUAAUCUUGUCAAUAUGUACAUGAAAAACAAUGAUUUAUGCUUAUAAAUCUUAUCAAUUCGCUUAUUUGUAUAUGUAAAAUGAAAUUAUUGAAACUACACGUAGAAUUGCAUGAGGAAAAAAAUACAACUACUGCAUUUAUAAAUGAAUAAAAGCUUGGCUUAAAAUUCAAAAUUCUCAAAACUAUGUUUUCCACACCAAAAUAUUUCAUCCAGCCAACCAAACACCGAUUGAAUCCUCCCUCUAAAGCAUAUUGCCCAAGAUUACAGGCAACGUAGUAAUUACCUAGGCAAGUACGUCAGAAUUAUAGCUUCUUUUUUUUUUUUGUUUUUUUUCAGUUCAUUGACUCGGCUCCACCCAACCACUAUCAGUAUCAGUUACUACCAGAGAGGGUACUGGGUACUGGUUACUGGGCAGGAGCUUUUCCAAAUUCACAACCCGUCUUCUUUAUAUAAGGGCAAGUUUAUGUAUUUCCUCUCGCCAUUGCCUUUUGUUCGAAUCAUUUGAAGUUGAUUUUAUUAAUCCAUCAGAAAAACAUGGCUCUAACUGGUAAAUUGGAGAUUGAAACAGAGAUCAAAGCACCUGCUGAUAAGUUCUUUAAAAUCUUCAGGAGCCAAGCACACCACCUUCCUAAUAUCUGCUCCGAUAAAAUACACAAAAUCGAGGUACAUGAAGGUGACUGGGAGACUCAGGGCUCUGUCAAGCAUUGGAGUUACACCAUUGGUAGGAUAUGCAACUCGAACUCAGAACCCCAAAACACUAGCUAGCAUUAUAUUCCGUUAAAAUGUUUUUUGAUUUUUUUUCCCCAUUUCAUUGUUGUUUUCUUCACAUUUUUUUAUUCUUUUAGAAUAAAUGCAUGGCUCUUUGUACAAUUUUUCUUUUUUUCUUGCAAAGAAGUGGUCAAGUCUGGGCCGCCAGUGACUAUGAUCGAUGGUUCUUAGUAAUGUAUAUGGCAUCUAAUAUUAGCUUCAACAUAUUCCAAUUACUAGGAGGGAAUUCUAAGAGCAUUAAGGAGAGUGUGGAAUCAAUAGAUGAAGAGAACAGGUCCAUUACGUUCAAGGUUUCGGAUGGAGAGGUGCUGAACGACUACAAGAGCUACAAGUUCACCACACAAGCAAUACCAAAGGGAGAGGGCUGCUUGGUGAAAUGGACCAUUGAAUAUGAGAAGGCAAGUGAGGAUGGGCCAGAUCCCCAUGACUACCUGGAGUUUGCAGUUACUGUCACCAAAGAUAUCGAAAGUCACCUUCUCAAUGCAUAACACCAAGUCCAUACAUACCGUCUGCUAGUAUCUCUAUUAAAUAAAGUUUGGAACUUGGAAGGGCAUCUACGAUCUCUAUCCUUCAAUAUAUGCGAAGGCUUAGGGGAACUUUUAGCAGCUGUGGCUUGGUGAUUAAUGCUGAGAAGAUAAACUAGGUUUCCCUUAAUUAUUUGUGUAAUAAUGUUAGUGCAUGCGUGUAAUCGGUUGUAUGCUUGUCUGGACUCUAGGGGUUGCUUUGUGAUUGUUAAUUGGUGUCUUUUGUAAUGGGAUUACUACAUGUUAUGUGAAGACUAUAUGAUGUAUAAGGAAAUAAAGUGAAAAUUACCAGGGGCUAACUCCAUCAUGAGGAGCCUCUGAGUAUGUCCACAAGUCUACAUUCUUGCAUUCUAGUCACAUGUGUCAAAAUCAGACCCUAACAAAUUACAGUCUUGAUCAUUGAAGGGGUAAAAUCCCACUUUACAUAUAAUCUAAAUAAUUUAGCUAAAAUCUAAUAAGAAUAUCUCUCUCUACAGGUAUGUAACCUUCCAACCUUGAAUUUAAGGAUAUUUAUAUAAUUUAAAAUUAUAAAAAGAAAAUUUUGGAUAUAGGACAAAUUAAUUUUUUUUUUAAAAAAUAACGAAAGUGAAUGAAAUAUUUUUGGUUCCUAUGACCACCCACUUUUUUUACUUUUUAUUUUUAUCUCAUUUUAGUUUCUCCACGUUAUAAAAAAAUGAAAAGAUAAAAUAGAGAGGAAAAAAGACAACUUGGAUUUGUAGAAGUUUCUUUCUUUCAUGGUGUUUUUCUGUUCUGUUUUUGCCUUUGUUUCAUUCUAAAAGUCACUCACUAUCUUUAUCUCAUUUGGGUUUCCCCGCGUUAUCAAAAAAUGAAAAUAUAAAACAAAGAGGAAAAAAAAACCUAUACAAAGGUCUUUGGAAUUUUGAUUCAAAGACUUAAGAAAAGAAUAAUAAAUUUUUGCAUUUGUUCCGUUCUAAAAUUCAAGGUAAGUUUUUCACAUAUAAUUUUUUUUUAGGAAUUCUAUUAUCUAUUAAUUAUGAGAAUAGUAAAUAUAUAUAAUAAUAAUAAUAAUAAUAAUCAUCAUCAUCAUCAUCAUCAUCGUCAUCAUCAUUAUCAUUUUAAAACUAGUUAUUAGUGAUCCUAAUCAAUCGAGAACAAGUUGAUUUUCAUUACCCUUGGUAAUGGUAGUGAUAAAAUAUAUUUUUAGUUAAUAAGGGUGUAAUUAGCUUUGGGGUUUCAUUGAUUAGAAAUUAUUUCAUCUACUAGUAAAAAAAACAAAGUAAAACUAACCAUCAAGUGCAAAUCAUGAAUUUUUUUAAAUAUGAAUUGAGUAUACAAAGUAUAUUAUUUAAUUAUAUAUUUAAAUUGAAAGAGAUUAAUUUUUCAAAAAUAGUGAAUUUAAUCAUUGAAUCAAAUCAACUUACCUGUUAUAAAGAUGUGAUAUGUUCCAAAAUUUAGUUGUAUACAAUACGUGACCCUUCUUAUUAAACUAUCCUUUAUCAUUGAGCUAUCUAACUUACCUUUCUCAAUUAUUAUCCUUUAAGGUACAUCAAAUAUUGGUAUAAAUGAGAAGAGAUCGAGAUAUGAAAAGUAUUUCAAAUAGAAACAUCUUUAGAAUAGAUUUAUUUUUUAGGAUUGUUUACUUAGAUCAAGUUUAUUUUAAUUUCUAAAAUGUUUUUUUAAGUGUUUGAGAGAAUUAAAGUUAUUAUUUAGAUAUUUUAAUUAGUUUUGGAUUUGUUUGUUAAGGUCAUUCAUACAAAGAUGAUAUCCAUUUCUGUGUUAUAUUUUAUUUUAUUUAUUUAUUUCUUAUUUCAUGUAUUAAGUUUGAUAAAACUGAAGGUGAAAUCAACAUUGAAUUGCUAAAAAUGUCAAUUACUAUUGUUAAUUUAUCACAAUUAUGAUUUUUUAAUUGUAGCACAUAGUAAAAUUAUUAUUAUUAUUAUUAUUAAUAUUUAUACUCUGGUCGAACUUAUCCAUGGCCAAUCCAUCAUGUAGGCCAAUUUUGUCAAACUUAUCCAUGGCCCAUCCAUCAUGUAGGCCAAAUUUUUAUUAGCAUUUUUGGGUCAUAACUCUAGAUGCUGACAUUAAAGCAUUUCUGGCAUAAUAAUUAUUGGAAAAGGAUGUCUCCUCUUUCAUGGAUCACAACCAAUACAGCAAAGAUGAUGAUAGAUAGCAUCCUUAUCACCUCAUGUGUCUUGACCUCUUCUUCAAGCUUGAGUGUCUUGUCCUAUAUUUAACGCAUGUACCAUUGCCUCCAAGAUAUGGUGACAGGAAUUAUAUAGCUACUGACUAGCUAGUCUUCACUCCAAAAAUAUGAUGGCCACUUUUUUGAAAUAUAACUCUUUAUCCUAUUGACUUAAACUCACCACCUCUUUCAGAUCCUCCACAAGGAUCAACUUAUUAAGAGUUUGGUCGAAGUUUGAUCCACUUUUCUAAAUGAGCAAUGUUAAAUUAUUUUAUUCAAACAAAUUUGAUGAUCAAAUAUCUCUUAUUUUCUCAAAUUUAAAUAACAUUCCUUUAUAAAAAUAAUUAUAAAAUUUAUUAUAAUCACUCAUUUUCAAUGGCUCAUUAGUAGAUGUUCAUUGUAUUAAAAUACAUUUAUAUGAUUAAGAAAAACUUAUACAUUUCUAUUUUUUUUUUCUAUGCAUAAUUUAUAAUAUCUCAUAUAGGAUUUAUUGGGUUUAGAAACAUGUAAUAUUUAUAUAAUAGUGAGUGAAUUAUUAUAAAUGGUAUGAAAAUUGAUUUUCAACCCUUUAUGAGAAUUUAUUUAAUACUACAAUAUAUGACUCUAUGUUUGAUUAUGUAAUCCUAUAAGACACGAUGUCCAUUAAGUUCAUUAUAUUAUUUUUAAUUAUGUAAAAAUAUUUUAAAAUUAAAAAAAUUCAUUAAACUUAGUGCAGACGCUAUCUAUAUAAAAGGAAAUAAAUGGUUAUACUUCAUCAUAUUCGUUUCUCAUAUUUGAUAUAUAUCAAUUUCAGCGACUAUUAUUCAACAUUGCCCGAAGCAAUAGGUGCCUCACUUUUACAAAGAAAACUUCCUCUAUUGAUAUUUCUCAAAUAUAAAUUCAUGUCAUGGACUCAUGGUUAACAACCGAUAGAUCCUAAAACAAUUAGAUAUCUCAGAUAUUGAUUGACCAAAUGGACAACCGAUGCUAUAGUAAGAGCUGUUGCUGUUAUCUUUUAAUUUAAAUAUACACAAACGACAAAAUGCUUAACUAAUCCACCACCCAGGCGCCGGGCCACAGAAAUGAAAUACCGCCUACCCCAACAUUUUGGAAUUAAAAAUCUACACCACCCAGAUCUUGCUGUGAUUUGGUAAAUCCCGAGAAAUUGACAACCUUCCUACGCUGGGGAGGCGUGGUUCCAUUCAAUGCCAACAUUUUCGGAUGGGUCCAGAGAGUUGUACAGUGACUUUUAAAUAAAGAAUUGUUUUAAACCUUGACUUUGGGCUCUUUAUCAGGAAUAUGAAAAUAUUGGGCAAUGACUAGAUUCGAGAGCAGGUUGCAUGCAUAGAUAUCGCAUUAAUUUUUAGCAAUCGUUAUGACGAAAGAAAAUCUGCAGAACCAAGCGAAUUUUCCUAGUCAUCAUGAGAGACAUUAGACAAGGUUUUCAAUUCAUAAAAUUGCCUUAUCAUCUGGAAUUAAAUAUUUUCAAGCUAAGGAUGAGGUUCAAUCCGUACGGGGCAAUGAAAAUAUAUGGAUGCCCUAUAGAGUGGUUGAACAUUCUACAGUUUCGUCCCUAUUUAUAGAAGAAGAUGAAAUUUUAAGCAAUUUGCUUCAAUGCAAUUUUAGCAUAUUUCAGCUAGUCAUAGCAACGUCUAAUUUCGUUGAUGUAGAAGAAGCUAACACCAAAGAUUCAUCUAGGUAGAAAGAAGUAUCGAGCAUGUAACUAACCGCAGAACUCACAUCUAGGGACCCUAUUGUAAAUAUAACAGGUGAUGGACAUAAAGAUAGAUAUGAGUAAAAGAGUGGAACAUAAAAUCCAAAUUUCAAAAGUAUGAUAGUUUUUUAGUGUUUCUUUGAAUCUCGUAGGAAUUUAGGUCAUUUUCAAUCUCAUCCAUGAGACAAGGUACAAUAAUUGUUGAAGAAUAAGAGUAUUGUUGGGCAGUUCGGCGAGCUAUAUAUAAAGAGAGAGACUUCUUAACCAUAUAAAUAUUAUCCUCUAUAACUCUAAAUUUUUUUUUCCUUUAUCCAAUAUAAAAUAUCACAAUCACUUUUAUGUAUGCACUCUUUUUAAUCACGUCGCAUAAAAUUACACCAUUUUCAAAGCUAAAUAAACUCCUAUAUAGGGGUCAUAUAUUGACUUCAAUACUCUUUGAAACGACUCACACUUAAUCAUAUAAACUCAUUAUAAUAAUGUAUUUCCUAAUUUCAUGGAAUUUCAAUAAAAUAUUUAUUACUUUCAAAUGGGAAUUAGAGAGGAAUGUUGUCUAGCUAACUCAUAAUUCUUCUUUAUAAGUUCAAAUUAGGUAUUUACUUCUUCCUACCAUUACCUCAUAUUUUGAUUGUUUCUUCGUUAAUAUAUAGUUGGUUAAACUAAUAAACUAGAGGUUAGGAUGGAGAUCAAUUUAGAUUAUGUUUGUUUUGAGUUUAAUAAACCCUUACGACUUUAAAAUGUGUUUAGAUAGUUAAGAGAAACUUAUACAUAUAUAAUAUUAAAAAAAUUUCCUCAUUUAAUGUGAGAUAUUAUAAUCAUCACUCAUGUAGACAUAAUAUAUUUGUUGUAAGUCAGAAGAUUGUAAAACCAAACAAAUUUUUUCAUUGAAAUAUAAUAUUAUUUGUAAUGGUUCACUUUCUCUCAUGGAUCCCAACUCCAUUAGGUUCUUCAUGAAGCUUGUUUCAGUUUAUUAACCACCGAUGUAGCAAAGAUGAUGAUAAGUAGUAUUUUUGUUUCUCAUAUGUUUUCAGACCUCAUCAAGCUUGAGUGCCUUAUCCCAUCUCUAACGCAUGUACCAUUGCCUCCAAAAUAUGUUGCCAGAUUAUACAUAAUAUCAUAAUUAUAGCUACUGAAGUCCAACGACUACCUAGCUAGUCUUCACUCCCAAAAACAUGAUGGUCACUUCUUUGAAAUAUAACUCUUAUCCUAGUGACUCAAACUCACCACCUCAUUGACAUCCGUCAUAAGAAUUUCAGAGACUCUUCAAAGUUUGAUCCACUUUUAUAGAUGAAUAAUGUAAAAUUCUUUUAUUCAAACAAAUUUGAUGAUCAAAUAUCUUUUCUUUCCUAAAAAUUAUAUUUCCUUUUUAUAAAUCUUAUUUUAAUGACCCAAUUACAGUAUGGUAGAUAUUGUUUGUUUCGAGUCCAAUAAACCCUUAUAACUUUAAAAUAUGAUUAAAUAGUUAAGAGAAACUUAUAAAUAUAUAAAUGUGAGGUCAAAUAAAUUUUCAUAUUGAGAUAAAAGAUUAACUUUAAUACUAUUUGUAAUGGUUUACUUUCUUUCAUGUAAACAUCAUCCACUUUAUACUCAAUGAAUCAUUGAAGCUUUAAAACAUAUUUACAUGAUUAAAAGAAACUCGUACAUAUAGUAUUAGAAUUUUUUUUUUCUGACCCAUGAUUUGCAAUAUAUGUAUAAAUACGUUUUAAAGUUAUGAGGAUUUAUUAAGUUCAGAGUAAAUAGUAUUUAUAUUAAAUGGAAUGACAUGUCACAUGCAAAUAAUAUCAAACUCAAUCUCCAAUUUUUAUAUAAGAGUUUGUUUGAUUUUAUAAAAAAUGUUUGUGUGUUUCAUUCUACAAUUCUGUGAGACACAACAUCCAUUUAAUUUAUUAAAGUCUUUUUAACUAUGUAAACAUGUUUUAAGUUGUUAAGAUUGAUUGGGUAAAAACAGAAGAGGUGAUUGUGUGUUUUAUCCUACAAUUCAAUGAGGCAAUGCCUAAUUGAUUCAUUGGGGUACUUUUAAUCGUUAAUGCAUGUUUCAAUGUUGCUAAGAUUGAUUGAGUGAGGAAAAUAUCUACAUAUGAAAGGCAACAGUUAGUUACACUUCAUUAUGUUUUUUUCUAAUAUAUUGAUAUAUGUCAAUUUCAGUAGUUAUUAAUUCAACAUCGCCCAAAGUAACCAAUGCCUCGCUUUUCCAAACAAAACUUUCUCUAUUGAUAUUUCUUAAAUAUAAAAUCAUGUCAUGGUAAGCAUCCGAUGGAUACUAAGACAAUUGGAUAGAUAUCUCAGAUAUUGAAUGGACCAAAUGGGGUAACGGAUGUGGUAGUAUACAAGCGCUGUAUAUCUUUUAAUUUAGAUAUACACACACAACGUAAUGCCUAAUCCAUCCAGCCGGGGGGCCGGCCAGAGAGAUAUAAAAUACCCCCAAUCCCAUCAUUUUGUAUUUUGUAUUGGAAUUAAAAAUCCAAACCCAGAUAUUGCUAUGAUUUGGUAAAUCCCGAGAAAUUGAGAACCCAUCCUGGGGGAGGCAUGGUCCCCCUAUUCAAUGCCAACCCUAUUUUCAAAUGGUGUCUAAAGAGUUGUACAGUUAACGGUGACUUUAAAAUAAAGAAUUGCCUUAAACCUUGAUUUUAGGCCCUUCUUCAAGAAUAUGAAAAUGCAUGUUGGGCAAUGAUUUAGAUUCGAAAGUGGGUUCUGCAGACAUCACAUUUCUGCAGAGCCGAAAAUAUUUACAAGCGUAGGACGAAGCUCAGUUCAGAUGGGCCUCGAAGAUGAAUUUUUAAGCAAUUUGCUUGAUACAUUCAGCAAUUGAUAAUUUAAAAUAAAAAAAAUUAGGAAAUAGAAAGUAAAACAUAUAUGGUUAAAACUUCAAUGCAAUUUUAGCAUAUUUGAACUAGUCAUAGGAGCGUUUAAUUUCUUUGAUGAAGAAGCUGAACACCAAAGAUUCAUCCAGGUAGAAAAAUGUAUUGACCAUCUAAUUGUCUGCAGAACCUACAUCUAAGUACCCCGCUAUAAAUAUAAGAGGCAACUUAGGUGAGGGACAUAUAGACACAUACGAAUGCCAUUGUAGAAUAUAAAAUCCAAAUUUCUCAAAACUAUAAGGUUAUGUUUGAAUCCAAAAAAAUAUUAGAGGAAGUGAAAAUGUUAAGAAAAAUAAUUUUUUAUGAUUAAUUUUAUUAUAAAAAAUAUAAAAAAUAAAUAUAAUUAAAAUUAGUUAGAAUUUUACAUAUUUUUAAAUUAUAUAAUUUGAAUUUAAAUAAAUAUAUAAAAAUAAGUCAUUAAUUUUAGAUCUAUUUCUUUUUUCUUUUUUUAUAUUCUCCCACAAAAUUUCAGUAACCGAACACAACCUAAUAGUUUCCACUGUUUCUUUGAAUUUCUCAACUUCAAAAUCUCUUGUCUAUGAGACCUCAGAGUAAUUAAUUCCUACCUCUUGGUGACUAGGCCAAGCGCAUGGAUAGGCACAUUGACCCACUUGUAAUUGCCUAGGCUAAUAGGCCAAGCUCAUAGCAAUUUUCCUUUUUUAUUUUUUAAUUUCGUCGUAGGACUUGGUCUCCACAAGGCACUAUAACGUAUCCCCUAAUUUCAUUUCAUGGAACUUUAAUAAAAUAUCUAUUGCUUUCAAGUGGGAACUGGAGAGCAACGUUGCCUAGCUAACUCACAAUCCUUCUAUAUAAGUUCAAGCUAGGUAUCUUCUUCCUUCCACCACUGCCCACUGCCUUGUAUUAGGAUAUCGUUUCUUAGUUAAUAUAUAGUUGAUUAAUUUCCAUCUCCAACUACUACUAUUAUUAGAAAAAUAUGGCUCUAACUGGCAAGCUAGAGGUUGAAAUGGAGAUCAAUUCACCUGCGGAUAAAUUCUAUAACAUCUUCAGGAGGCAAGCACACCACAUUCCUAAUAUCUGCUCAGAUAAAGUACACCAAAUUGAUGUACAUGAAGGUGACUGGGAGACUCCAGGCUCCGUCAAGAACUGGGGUUAUACUCUUGGUAAGGCAACCACAACUCAAACCCCAAAACCCUAGCACUAUUAGUCUGUAAAAAAAAAUGAUUUUUUUAGUUUUUCUAUUUCAUUUAAUUGUUUUUUUGUUUGGCAUUUUCCCCUUUAGAAUAUUAAUUUAACUGCAUUAAUUCGGAGUUGAUCCCAUCAUGUGGAAGUUUAUGCUUCUGUUAUGAAUACAGCUUUGUAUGCCUUCCUUAUGUUUAAUUCAACCUAAAGCAUGUAGAAUUGAUGGUCAAAGUCUAUGGGACCCUUUUUUCAUGACCGCCAUGCAUGGGGCUUUCCCAGGUGACUGCCCGCUACUAAAGGGGCCUAAAGUUUAGGUCCCCCGAGUUAGAACUUAGAAGAGGGAUUAUGAAUGAUCAGUGAAGUUGUAAGGUUUUGAUCUUCUUAGAUAUUACCUAGAAAGAGGAUUGACUUUACUUGACUUUUACCAUAUUGAUUUAGAGAUUGGCGAUUGCUUUAAAAGGUUGUGUCAACAGAAGAAAACUUAAAAAAUAUUAAGAAAAAUAAAAAAAAUGAUUUUGUUUUUAUAAAAAAAAUCAAAUAUAAUAAAAACGAGUUGAAAUUUUAUUUAUUUUUAAAUUAACUUUUAUAUAGAAGAAUUAAAAUACGUUAAGUAAAUUUGAAUCAAAAUAUAAAAAUAAUUAAUUUCUUAAUUUUAAAUUUAUUAUUUUUCUUUUAACUUCUUUUUUGUUUUUUCAUUUUCUUUUCUUUUGUAUUUUCUUCAAAUUUUUUUAGAACCAAAUAUAGUCAUUAUGAAAAGAUGGGCCACGAAGUGACUACGCAUGUCAAUUUGCUUGAGAUUUCGCAAUCUAGUAGUUUCAAAAUACUAUGCUUAACCCCUUGUUUUGGUUUGAAAUUACUAGGAGGGACUUCUAUGAGCCUUAAAGAGACUGUGGAAUCAGUAGAUGAUGAAAACAAGUCAAUCACUUUCAAGGUUGUGGAUGGAGAGAUCAUGAACCAUUUCAAGUGCUUCAAGUCCAACUUGCAAGUAAAAGCAAAGGAUGAGGGCAGCUUGGUGAAAUGGAGUCUGGAAUAUGAGAAAGUAAAUAAGGAUGUCCCAAAUCCUGAUGCUUACCUGGAGUUCGCAGUUAAUGUUACUAAAGAUAUUGAAAGCCACUACCUCAAGGCAUGACACCAAGGCCAUGUGGUAUCCUCGGUAGUAUUACUUCAAUAACGCUGGUGUUUGUAAUUUGGUUGAGUUGUAUGCUUUACCAGGAGUGGCCUUGUGAUUGGCUGGUUUCUUUUGUAAAGGCAUUAUCAUAUAUGAUGUAAAUACUGUACCUUAAAUAAAAAGAAAAUCAGCAAAGACCCUCCUUUUUAAUGUGGAUAAUUGCUUUUAAUGUCACCUUUGUUGAUCGGUUUACAAGACAAGAGUUAACAAGUAGUCCCUAUUUAUUAAAUAUAAGAAUUUUCUGUAUCCAUUAAUCAUCAUCAGUAAGCUAAUAAAAUGGCUGAUAUUUUUCUUAAUAAAAACAGCAACAGUUACUGAGUUUAUAUAUAGGACACCAGUUGCAGAUUAGAUUUCUUUGGCUUGAUUGUGAUCUUUCUACAUGUUGGAAAAAUAUUGUCAUUUGGUAUUUAAUAUCAAAUUUUAAAAAUAAUAUUUAAGAUAUGAAGAAAAAAACAUACAAUGAUUCAUAUUUUUAACUUUAAUAUGAUUUAAAGUUCAUCGAGUAACCGUUUUGAAAUCAUUCACCCUUGAUCUUCACUUUCCUAGUCUCCCUUUACACGUUCCUUAGUGGUGAGUAUGAAAAUGAUUCCAUUGAAUUGUAAGAAUGGAAAGAGGGAUAAAAAAUUCUUCUAUUUAUAAGCAUAGAAUGAUUCUUCUUAUCAGUGAACCAUUAACUAAAUACUUUAAACAUAUUAUUAAUUAAUAAUAAUAAUAAUAAUAAUUAUUAUUAGAAAAUAAAUUUCAUAAAUAUUAUAAAUUUAAAAAAGAAUCUAAUUUAAUUCUUAAAAAAUUUAUGCAUGAAAUUUUUAUAUUAUUUUUAAUUGUUUUCUAAGGGUUAUUUUAAGAAAUUAUUAUACAAACAUAUAAAAUAAUUAAAAAUAAAACAAUAGAUAUAAAAAUUAUUUUUAAAAAUAUUAAAAAUAAAUUCAAAAUAUUUUAAGUUGCCAAACAAAUUUUUUAUUCUACAAAAAUCAGAGAUAGUUUUCAAAAUCUCUUUUAAAAAACUAUUUUUCAGAAUUAUUUUAAAAAAUAGUUACCAAACAAGCCCUAAAAGAUUUAUAUAUAUAUAUAUAUAUGAAAUUAAAAAAAUAUCAAAUAAUAAAAAUUCAAACAAUGGUAAGGGUGUCACUAAUGAUCGGUUUGGAUUUAAACUAACAUUUUUUUAUAUUGAGUAAUUUAUUUUUUAUUCUAUAUAUUAGAAAAUUGAAUUUAAAUGUAACUUUUUCAAAUAAAAUAGUUAGAUCACACUUGAUAUAUAGUAAUAAUUUUUUAAAAACUAAUGGUCAUAAUUUAAAAAAAUGAUGAAAAAAAAAUCUCAAAUAUAUUGCAUAUGAAUGUAUAUAUUUAGUUUUAUACAACAUGUUAGACAUAUAUUAGUUAUUAACUUAUUAUAAUCUACUAAAAUAUUAAUUCUAUACGAGGGGAUUAGAUUUCUCAUUGUUGAUUUUAUAACCCUCAUUGUGGGAUUAUAAAAUGUCAUUGCAAUCACUCCCAAUUUAGUCUAUGCAAAUCAAAUAUAGAAAUGCAAUUUAUCUCUGUCACAAUUUGUUACACAAUAAUGAUAAUGGAUAAUAAAUAAAUAAAUAAAUAAAAUUAAAGAACACACAUUUAUGUAUAAAACUUUAGAUGAGAAAAAUCAUGGAUAAGGAAAAUGAAUAUCCAAUAUAUCAAAAGAUUGGUAUAAAAGAUGAGAAAUAUAAACAACUAUGAUAAAAAUAUAAUCAUCAUAACCUUAAAAUUAUGUGAAAGUAAUUAACAAAGUAGGUCCAUACAUAAGGACAAAGAGCCCCCUCAAAGGUAUCAAUGGUGGGGGUGUGGGGUGUGGGAUCGGAUCAAAUUCCAACGUUAUCAAUGGUAGGCUAGGGGAUCGGAUCAAAUAGAAUUUGGAUCGCCAAACCUUAAUACAUUUUAUGCUUUUUCUUAUUGGUUUAGAUUUAUGAUAAUCUCCUCCACCAGCAAAAUAAAGUUAUACCGGAGGAUUUUCUUUGUUUUGGCUGUCACACUUUCACUUCUUUGCUAAUAGCCUAACAUCAAAUGAGAAAAUAGAGACAUUUUAAAAAUGAGAACAAAUUCUCGAGGAUUUAGUUGUCUGCCACUAGACUAUAAAAAAUGCUUUCCUGUUAUUUUACCCCCUAAAAUAAGUUUGAUACAAUGCAUCUAUUUUCUGGCUCCGACAAUGUUUAAGAAUACAUCAACCGACCUCAAACCACAUUAUUUCGGUUUGAAAAGAAGGCUUUAUUAUGUCAGUAUGGCUGCUAAGAAGACUUUUGGAAUAUAAUAAAACAAGUCCAGCGAGUUGAUGGUUUGGAAUCGAGAGAUCAUGAAUGAUUUCCCUACUUUAGAGUCAAUAAUUAAGUGGAAUGUGAGAAGGUGAAUGAGGAUGGCCCGGGAUCCAAUGCUUACUAAACUAUUGAAGAUCACCUUCCUGAGGCAUAAUUCCAUUACUUUUCAUCGACGCUGCGAUGCUAUAAAAGAAUAUUAUAAAAAUGCAAGGGUAAUGAAAUAUUGUACAGCCUUUACCGUAUUGAAGAACGUGGACUGAUUGCUAGGGUACCCAACACCCACCAUAAUUCCCACACCAACUCCCAACCAACCCGAUCACGUAGGGCCUCACAUGGCCUCAUUAUCAUUUAUGUGGAAAGAUAAUGCUAAACUAUAUACGGGAUGGCCAUUCUACCAGCCAACCUGUAAUGAUUUUGAUAAAAGUAUACUAAAAAUAGAAGGAGAAAUUAAGUUAUCAUUUGAUAACGGUUUUUAAAAAUUGUUUUUAAUAUUUUAUAAAAUAAAAUUUUAUUUAGAAAUACAAAAUAUUUUUAACUUAUUUUUAAUAUUUUAUAUGUAUAUAUAUAUAUAUAAAGAGAGAGCGCUUUAUUUUUAAUUAUUUUUCAUAUUUAUAUAAUUAUUUUUUAAAACAAUUUCAAAAAAACAAGUGAAAAUAACUAAAAAAAUAUUCUUUGAGAUAAAGAUCAAAAAACAUAAAAUAGUUUUUUUUAUUAUCAAACAUGUUUUAUGUUUUCUAAUCUGUGUUUUUUUAAUUUGUUUUUUGUUUUCAAAUCUUAAGAUCACUUAAUUUUUUAGGGUUUUUUUUAAGAAAUAAUUAUAUAAAUAUAUAAAAUAAUUAAAAAUAAAAUAUUAGACAUAAAAAUUAUUUUUAAAACAUAUUUAAAAAUAUUAAAAACAAGUUUAAAAUAUUUUAAGUUAUAAAAUAAGCUUUUUUUUUUUUACAAGAAUCAUAAAAUAAUUUUUAAAAACUAUUUUAAAAUAUUAUUUUUGAAAAUAAUUAUCAAACCCCUUAUUUUCUAUUCUCAAAAAAUGUUUUUUAAUUAUCAAAUGUGGUGUCUAUUUAAAUUUAAGAUUUUAAAUUUUAAAUUUAGUUAUUUCCAAGUUAUGAUCUCUUGAUAUUAUUUCAACCUAUUAUUUAUUUAUUUGUUUGUUUUUCACAUAAAUAAACUAAAAUUCAAUUGUAUAACCCAGUAUGAAUCACGUGGGCCCUUAGUGAGGCUGGCUACAACUAAAUCAACGUUCUUUUGAUAAUCGAUUGCCUAUGAAAGAAAUCAUCACGCCUUACACACAAUAGAAUAAAUUAAUAAGAAAGUAAGAAGAUUAGAAAGAAAAGCAUCUUAGAGGAAGGGUUUUUUUUUUUUUAACUUCUUGGUGGUGACACUGGAUGGGCUUUUGAUAAUUGUACGACGAAUUUAAAAUUAAUGUUUUAAAAUACGGUAUUAAAAAAUAUUUUCAAAUUUAUGGUACUUUUUACCACUUUGAAACAUGUUUCUUAAAAAAGCAUAUUUCAUCGUUUUUAUAUUAAUGAUACACAUUCAAAAAAAAAAAAAUUAAAGGUGUCUUUUUGAAAUAUAUUUUUCAUAAUUUUUAUAUCAAUAACACACAUUAAAAAAUUUUGAAUUUAUAUUAAAAGUGUCUCUUCAAAAAACACAUUUUAUAAUUCCAUAAAAUUAAAUUUAUAUUAAAAGUGUCUUUUAAAGAUAUACUUUUUACAAUUUUCAUAUCAGUUAUAUAGUGAAAAAAUUGAAUUUAUAUUAAACAUAUUUCUUUAAAAGACAUUUUCUACAAUUUCAUAAAAUUAAAUUUAUAUUAAAGGUAUCUCUUUCAAUAAUUUUUGUAUCAAUCAUCCAUUGAAAUAAUUGAAUUUAUACUAAAAAUAUCUUUUUAAAAGACACCAUCCAUAAUUUCAUAAAAUUAAAUUUAUAUUGAAAUGUUUCUCUUUAUACUUUUAAUAUAAAUUUAAUUUUUUUAUAGGUGAUUAAUAUAAAAAUUAUGAAAAGUAUUUAUUUAAAAAAUAUUUAUUAUAAAUUCAAUUUUAUAGAAUUAUAAAGACGUCUUCAACGUAAAUUCAAUUAUUUUUUCAAUGUGUAAUUGAUAUGAACAUUAUGAAAAAUGUCCUUCAAAAGACACUUUUAGUAUAAAUUUGAUUUUAUGGUAUUAUUAAAAGUAUAUUUCUUUAAUAUAAAUUCAAUUUUUUAACAUGUAUAACUAAUGAAAAAUUAUAAAAAAAUUAUAUUUUGAAGAGAUAUCUUUAAUAUAAAUUCAAUUUUUUAACAUGUAUAACUAAUGAAAAAUUAUAAAAAAAAUUAUAUUUUGAAGAGAUAUCUUUAAUAUAAAUUCAAUUUUAUAGAAUUAUAAAAGAUAUCUAUUGAAAAAAUACUUUUAACAUGUAUCAUUGAUAUGAAAAAUAUAGAAAAUAUCUUUUCAAAAAACACUUUUUAAAAUGGUAAAAAGUACCAUAAAUUUAUCAAAAGUUUUAUAACUAUCAUAGAAAUUUUUUUCAAAAGUUCCAUUUUUUAAUAAUUAUUUUUUUAAAUAGCCGUACAAGUUAUAUAAAAAAAAACCCGAUACUCCAUAAAAUGUGAUCAAGUAGGAUUUGCAUCAUGCAACCUCAUACAAAUAAUAAAAAGCAUAAAUCACUUGAAACUUGAAAGUGAUUGGAAUUUGGCAGACUCUAGCUAGCUAGGUUGCCAUAAAUGACAUGGGUCAGUGGCCGACACCCACCAAACCCAGCACUUAAUAAUAUAAUUAAUAUACUAUUAUUAUAGAACCAUCGUUUUCAGGAUAGGGAGCAUCAAAUUAACCUCCCCAAGUCAAACUGCACAAUUUGUUUCAUCGAAAUCGAAUAUCUAAUAAUGAAUGAUUAUGGGUGAGAUUGCAAUCCGCCAAUCCUUUGCCUAGCUCUUUGAAAAUCAAUGAUGAUGCUUAGUAUUAAUAUUUUAUUUAUCUUUUUAAUAUGAAAAUAAAAAUAUCAAAAUAAUUUUAAACUUUUUUCGUGGAGAUAAUGCUCCCCAGUUAAGCUGCUUAUAAGGUAUAAAUUAAUAAUAACCUUUUAAUUUUAAUAAAAGCAAUUUGAUACAUAUCACAUCUUAAUUCACUUGAGUAAUAACUAUUUAAGAUUGGAUUUAGGUUAACUUAGAUUAAUUAGAUUGUAUUCAGGUUAAUUAAACCAUAAUCAUAUUAUUAUCAACAAUUUCUCACAACUAUCCUAUUUUUAAUAUGAAUUAUUCCUAGUUCUCAAAUUAUUGUUUAGGUAGUUUUAUUAUCUUAAAAAACAUCUUUUUUUGUCAUUGGUUCUGCAUGGUUAUUAAAUAAGAAAAUUAUAAUUAUCUUAUCAACUAAUUUGAAGACUUUUCACAAAUUCAUACUUUAAAAACCUCUUUCUUUGUCGUGGGUCCCUACAUGGUUAUUAAAUAAUAAAAUUGUAAUAAUUUUAUCAAUUAAUUUGAAGACUUUUCACAAAUUUAUACAAUACUAGUUAUCGGAAAUGUGUCACAAAGAAGAUGCCAAGCUAAAAGCAAAUCAUGAUUCAUUAUUUUUUUUCCCAAUUGGAGCUCGAUGACCCAAUCCGAAUGCAUUAACAUCAAAAUUAGUGUUUUAUACUAUUUUCAAUGAACCUUGUCAACAUGAUCGUGAAAUGAUUUAUGAUUAUUUUCAAUAAACCUUUCAUCGAAACUAUGUGUAGAACUGCAUGAAUAAAUAAGAAAUUUUCAUAGUUACAGAUUUGCAUUAUCUCACUCUAUAUGAUUUUAUAUAGUUUUUUUUUUAAUACUUCUGCAACAUUUCUUUAGAAAAAAUAUUGUAUCAAUAAAUUCAGUAAUUUUCAUCAAUUUCAAUCUUAUAAUUAAAUGAUACUUCUGUCAUGUAUAUCACCAUACGUGUCACACUUCAUUCAAGAUCAGGUUGAUUAGUCAUGUAUACCUGCUCCAUUAAUAAAGUAUUAAGUUUUUAUUUUAUUUUAUUAAAAUAAUAAAUAAAUAAUAUAAUUUUUUUUUAUUAGAGGUAGUUAGGUAUCAUUAAAUGAUUUGUUGUCCUGCCAUGUCCCCAAUUAAUAAUUUUAUACUUUUCAUUUUUUUCAAAGGAUUUAAAAUAUAAAAUAUUAAAGAUAAAAUAUCUGAAAGUACCGCUUCCAUACCCAAUCAAAUUUUAAAUCUAAAUUAUUGACAUGUGAGUGAAAUUUGGACUAUUAAAUAAAAAGUGAAAAAAAAAUAAAAUAAUAAAUAAUUAAAAAUGUUCCUGCAAGGAGAUGUGACUAAGGUUAAAAAAGGAGGGGAUAAGGAGCGGCUAGGAAUAUGUAAACAAAAUUCAAAUAAUUAAAAAACGAAAUGAUAACUUCUCAAUGAAAUUGAAUGUUUCAGUUCUAAAAUCCAAAACAAAAACUAUAGUGAAAGAAAAAUUUGAGAAAAUAUAGCAUGGUCUUCUCUUUAAUGAUUGAUAAAUAUUUAUAUAUAAAUAAAGUUUAUUUUCCAUUAUAAUUUAGAUUAGUCGAGUCUUGUUUUCUACUCAAAUUCAAACUUCACAUUUUGUUAUAAUUUAAUCUAAUAAUAAUUGUUUUCACAAGACAAGCUGAAGUUAUCCAUUAAAAUACAACUUUUAAUUAAUAGUUUAAAAAAUAAGAUAAAUUUGAAAAUAAUUUUAAAAUUUAAUAAGUAUAUAUAUUUUUAAAUAGCAUUUUUUUUUUUAAAUUGCCAAAUCUAUGCUCAGAAAAGAUCCACAAAAGUUGAUCAACAAAAGAUACCGAACAGGAAGUAGAUGAUAAUCCAUUAUUUUCUUCUUUAUUAAAGUUUGACAACCCAAUCUGAAUUCAUUAACGUGAAAAGCAGUGUUGUAUGCUCAUUUUCAAUGAACCUUGUCAACAUGCACGUCAAAAACAAUGAUUUAUUAACUACGUACAUGUAGAAUUCCAUGGGAAAAAAAAAAAUACAAUUAAGGCCUUGGGAGAUGAAUAAAAGCUUAACCUAAAAUUCAAAAUUCUCAAAACCAUGUUUUUUCACACCAAAAUGUUUCAUCCAGCCAACCUAAGACCGAUUGAAUCCUCCCUCUAAAGCACAUUGCCCAAGAUUACAGGCAACGUAGUAAUUACCUAAGCAAGUACGUCAGAAUCAUAGCAAUUUUUACCAAAGUGGGUAUCGGGAAGGAGCUUUGCCUAAUUCAUUCUUCGACAAGGUUAUCUACUUCCUCUCGUCACUGCCUUCUGUUUGAAUCAUUUGUAGUUAGUUUUAUCAAUCCAGCUAGUGUUAUUAUCAGAAAAACAUGGCUCUAACUGCUAAAGUGGAGACUGAAACAGAGAUCAAAGCACCUGCUGAUAAGUUCUUUAAACUCUUCAGGAGCCAAGCACACCACCUUCCUAAUAUCUGCUCCGAUAAAAUACACAAAAUCGAGGUACAUGAAGGUGACUGGGAGACUCAGGGCUCCGUCAAGCAUUGGAGUUACACCAUUGGUAUGACAUGCAACUCAAACUAAGAACCCCAAAACACUAGCGUUAUAUUCUGUUAAUUAAAAUAAUUUUUGAUGUUUUUGUUUCAUUUCAUUGUUGUUUUCUUCUCCUUUCAAUUAUUCUUUUAGAAUAAUAAACGCAUGCGUCUUUGUACAUUUUUUUUCUUGCAAAUAAGUGAUCGGGUCUGGGCCGCUAGUGACUAUGAUGGUUCUUAGUAAUGUACAUGACAUCUAAUAAUAGCUUCAACAUAUUCCAAUUAUGUUUAACCUCACAUUUUGGUUUUAACUAGGUGGGAAUUCUCAGAGUAUUAAAGAGACUGUGGAAUCAAUAGAUGAAGAAAACAGGUCCAUCACGUUCAAGGUUUUGGAUGGGGAGGUGCUGAAAGAAUACAAGAGCUACAAGUUCACCGCACAAGCGAUACCAAAGGGGGAGGGCAGCUUGGUGAUAUGGACCAUCGAAUAUGAGAAGGCAAGUGAGGGUGGCCCAGAUCCCCAUAACUACCUAGAGUUUGCAGUUAAUAUCACCAAAGAUAUCGAAAGUCACCUUCUCAAUGCAUAACACCAAGGUCAUAUCUACCCUUUGCUAGUAUCUCGCUCGUAAAUAAAGUUUGGACCUUGGAAGUCCAUCUACGUACGAUCUCUAUCUUUCAAUAAACGCAAAUUCCAGGU
rnacentral:lncRNA from 1 species